rnacentral:rRNA from 1 species
GACGGAGGGUGCAAGCGUUGCUCGGAAUUACUGGGCAUAAAGGGCGGGUAGGUGGUGAGGACAGUCUGGGGUGAAAGCCUUGAGCUUAACUCAAGAAGGACCUCAGAAACAUGCUGACUAGAGUCCUCAAGAGGGUUGUGGAAUUCUCGGUGGAGCGGUGAAAUGCGUAGAGAUCGAGAGGAAGGCCAGAGGCGAAAGCGGCGACCUGGGGAGGAACUGACACUGAACUACGAAAGCGUGGGGAGCAAACAGG